UACAGAGGUCUCAAGCGUUGUUCGGAUUUACUGGGCGUAAAGCGCGCGUAGGCGGCUAACUAAGUCUGAGGUGAAAGGUUCAACGCUCAACGUGAACAGUGCCUUGGAGACUGGUUGGCUUGAGUGUGGCAGAGGAGCAUGGAAUUCCUGGUGUAGCGGUGAAAUGCGUAGAGAUCAGGAGGAAUACCAAUGGCGAAGGCAGUGCUCUGGGCUAACACUGACGCUGAGGUGCGAAAGCGUGGGUAGCGAACGGG
rnacentral:rRNA from 1 species